UGUCUUCCCAGGGUCAAUUUUUCUUAGUGGCUUCUUAAUUACUGAAGAAACAUCAAAACUAAAAUUAAUGAAUCUGAAGUGUCCUUUCAAGUUUGGGGGAGAAAUACUCGAACAAGGGGCCCCUCGCUUCAAACCCCACAGGUUCUAACCCAGAAUACUGGCCAUUUUUGAGCUAUUCACCUCUGUUGGAAUUUGUAAGCAUUGAGUGAAAUUGUGAAUUUGCCUGUCGCUGACUCCAGGGAAGAGAUGAGUCAAUCAACUCUGAAGAAUCAAGAUUUCCAGAAGAUCUAAAGCCCCCUUGCCUUCCUCUUUCUCAGCUACCCAUCAAAUAAGAGGCCUCGUUGGAGAACCAGAAUGGACAUUCUCCAAGCUGUCUGAAAUCCCGGUUGGUACUCCAGGCUUCAACAACUUCAGCACAAUGAGAGACAGCAAAGAAUAUCCUGGCCUUUGACAACCCCCUGCCUUCUAACAUACCGAGGUUAAUCAGACCCAGGACAAUUUGGAAGGGGCUCUUCUGCCACAACUUGGGGAGUGGAGGAUGGGAAAGCCAUAGGAGCCCCAGCAGGGCUGUUCUGAAGGUUUUCAACAUCUGAAAUUCACAGGAUCAUGGAGACGAACUAAACCAUCAUGGAGACGAACUAAACCAGAUGCAUCUAGCUCCUCAUGUUAGAGUUGAGAAAACAGAAACCCAGGGCUUGGGGACUACCUUGAAGACAUCAAGGUCCUGGUUGAUGACAAAAUCAGGACCAAGCUUCUGAUCCUCCCAAAUAUUCCUUCACUCCUCAGUGCUGCCUGUGAUGAGAAAGAUCAAAGCAUGCAUGCAAUUGUAAAUCAUGACACAGAGGCAACAUGCAAUUAUUUAGGUACUAAUUAAUAGACUGUGUAUCAAGUCAGCACUAAUCAAAUUCUUCAUGCCUUGACAGGGUUGUAGCUUGUCAGGAAUUUCUGAAGAUGAAAAAACUAUUUGUCUCAGGACAAAUCCUUCUCCUUCCAGUAAAUGCAAAGAAAGGAAAAAGUGUAACCAGGGGUAUUUAAGCUCA